rnacentral:rRNA from 1 species
GACGAACGCUGGCGGCGUGCCUAACACAUGCAAGUCGAGCGGAGAUAUAUGGAAGGUUUACCGGAAAUAUAUCUUAGCGGCGGACGGGUGAGUAACGCGUGGGCAAUCUGCCUCACACAGGGGGAUAACACUGGGAAACUAGUGCUAAUACCGCAUAACAUAAUGAAGUGGCAUCACUUUAUUAUCAAAGGAGCAAUCCGGUGUGAGAUGAGCCCGCGUCCGAUUAGCUAGUUGGUGAGGUAACGGCCCACCAAGGCGACGAUCGGUAGCCGAACUGAGAGGUUGAACGGCCACAUUGGGACUGAGACACGGCCCAGACUCCUACGGGAGGCAGCAGUGGGGAAUAUUGCGCAAUGGGGGAAACCCUGACGCAGCAACGCCGCGUGAAGGAAGAAGGUCUUCGGGAUUGUAAACUUCUUUGAUUGGGGACGAUAAUGACGGUACCCAAGGAACAAGCCACGGCUAACUACGUG